CUAAGCAAUACCGGGCAAGCAGCAUCCUUUGUCAUAUUCCUUUCUAAUAGCUGCAGCUGAAAAAUAUACUUGGUACAAAAUCACAGAAGUUAUUCAUGCCAGUGUUACUGUCACAAGAUCAAAAUUGUUGUAAUAAGGCUUAAUUCAAAGCUAAUGGGAAGCUUUAUUAGAGCUACUGAAGAACUGUUUCACUUGAACAAAAAAUCAAGACACAAGGCAGGGGGAAAGAAAAAUCCCAGGAUGAAGUCUCAGGAAACUGCUGUCCCAGGCAUGAGAGUGAGACUGAAACAAGCGCUCUCUGGGGGCUGUGUGAGACCCCCCACGGCUGAUUCCAGCAUGUCCCACAUCACACAGUGCUACCACGAACACAAUCCCACUGUGAUCCUAUGACUCAGGCAUAGUCCCCGGCGAGCACAACCAAGUGUGUGACCCUGGUUAACACUGCCACCAAGUGUGUAUGAGCACAGCUGUAUGUGACCCUUGGAGAAUGCAAGAGCAGGUGGCGAAGAGAGAGCUCAACGAACUGAACAUGGGCUUUCCAUGUGGGAGGCAGACCUGAUCCCCAGCAUUGCUUAGUUUCUUAGGAGACCCGAGCACCACUAGAUAGUUCCCUCCCCUGCCCCAAAAAAAUGUAAAAAGGGGAAAGAAAGGAGUUGGGGGACAAUGAAUGGAAACUCAAACAUAACUAGUUUAAGAAUGAGCAUGGA